GCAGGUCUUAGUGUUGGCCAAGAACGACUUGUGUUCUUCGUCAAAACUGGGCUGAACAUAGCAAAGUGAGGGUCCUUUGUAUAUUUUAAAAAUUAAUACAAGGGUUGGGAAUUUUCCCGUAUUGGCUUUGUUUUCUUUGAUAAAAUUCUGAUUUGCUGCCUAAAAUUUUAUUAAGGCCAAACUGCUGAAAUUUGGCUAAGUGUUAAGGAAGGCUGAGUCAAGUGCGGAACUUGACUGCCGCGCGGGUGUGACUUUGGGCUGACCAAAAACGCCCCCGUGACACCUACCAUGGUGGUGACGGGUGACGGAGAAUUAGGGUUCGAUUCCGCAGAGGGAGCAUGAGAAACGACUACCACAUCCAAGGAAGGCAGC
rnacentral:rRNA from 1 species